GAUGAACGCUGGCGGCGUGCCUAAUACAUGCAAGUCGAGCGAACAGACGAGGAGCUUGCUGCGCUGACGUUAGCGGCGGACGGGUGAGUAACACGUGUAUACCCUACCUAUAUGACUGGGAUAACUACGGAAAACCGGCGCUAACCCCGGAUAAUCUCUUGAACCGCAUGGUUCGAUGGUGAAAGACGGCUGUUCCGGCGGGUGUGGAUGGAUCCGCGCCUUAUUAGCUUGUUGGUGGGGUAAUGGCUUACCAAGGCAACGAUGCGUAGCCGACCUGAGAGGGUGACCGGCGACAUUGGGACUGAGGUACGGCCCAGACUGCUACGGGAGGCAGCAGGGGGAAAUAUUGCCCAAGGGGCGGAAGCCUGAUGAAGCAACGCCGCGGGCGGGAUAACGGCCUUCGGGGUGUAAACCGCUUUCGCAUGUGACGAAGCGUGAGUGGCGGUUAUGUGUACAGAAGCACCGGCUAACUACGUG
rnacentral:rRNA from 1 species